UUUCCGGUUGAUCCCGCCGGAGGCCACUGCUAUCGGGCUCCGACUAAGCCAUGCGAGUCUAGGGGCUCCUUCGGGAGCACCGGCGGACGGCUCAGUAACACGUGGACAACCUACCCUCGGGUGGGGGAUAACCUCGGGAAACUGAGGCUAAUACCCCAUAGGCCUCGGGUACUGGAAGGUCCCGAGGCUGAAAGCUCCGGCGCCCGAGGAUGGGUCUGCGGCCUAUCAGGUAGUUGGUGGUGUAAAGGACCACCAAGCCUACGACGGGUACGGGCCCUGAGAGGGGGAGCCCGGAGAUGGACUCUGAGACACGAGUCCAGGCCCUACGGGGCGCAGCAGGCGCGAAACCUUCGCAAUGCGCGAAAGCGCGACGAGGGGAGCCCGAGUGCCCUUCCUUCGGGGAGGGCUUUUCUGGAGCCUAAAAAGCUCCAGGAAUAAGGGCUGGGCAAGACGGGUGCCAGCCGCCGCGGUAAUACCCGCAGCUCGAGUGGUGGCCACUAUUAUUGAGCCUAAAGCGUCCGUAGCCGGACCCGUAAAUCCCUGGGUAAAUCCCGGCGCUCAACAUCGGGAAUUCC
rnacentral:rRNA from 1 species